AGGACAGCACCAGGACUGCUUUUAUAAUUAUCCCAGAACCUGUCCUUCAAAUUGAAGUCUGACCUGGAGAUCCAGUAUGUAGAAGUGAUAAAGGAGGAGCUGUUCUAGGAUUUGGUUUUUAUUGAAAAAUGAACCCCAGCAAUUUGUGGCGGAUUUUUAUUACUUGAUUUUACAAAGCCAUAAUUGGUGUGUAUGCUUGUGUUUGGAUUCACACUUACAUCUUGAACAAGAUAAUAUUUGUCACCUUGUUCAAAGGUAUUUCAAAAUCAAAGUAAAAAAAUACAUAUUAGAAUUCACAAAAAUAAAUCACUGGUCUAAACACUGUAUGCCUGAAGAACAGCAUUAAUUUCCCAUUUUGCCAUAAUUGGACCUGUUACCUGGUGUA
rnacentral:lncRNA from 1 species